ensembl:ncRNA mir-1007 mir-1007 stem loop
GUAAGCAGUGUUUGAACUCGAUCUUGGUUCUUGGACUCUUGAUAAGCUCAAUUAACUGUUUGCAG